GACGAACGCUGGCGGCGUGCCUAAUACAUGCAAGUCGAACGCAGUGGGGACGGGUGAGUAACACGUGGGUAACCUCCCAUCAGAGGGGAUAACACUUGGAAACAGGUGCUAAACCGAUACUGAUGGAUGGACCCGCGGUGCAUUAGCUAGUUGGUGGGGUAACGGCUCACCUAGGCGACGAUCUAUAGCUGGGCUGAGAGGAUGAUCAGCCACACUGUGAAUGAGACACGGCCCAGACUCCUACGGGAGGCAGCAGUGGGGAAUAUUGCACAAUGGGCGAAAGCCUGAUGCAGCAAUGCCGCGUGAAUGAAGAAGGUCUUCGGGUUGUAAAGGACUUUCAGCGGGGAGGCGUUACCCGCAGAGGAAGCACCGGCUAACUCCGUGCCAGCAGCCGCGGUAAUUC
rnacentral:rRNA from 1 species